rnacentral:rRNA from 1 species
GAAGCAACGCGAAGAACCUUACCAGGUCUUGACAUCCCGCUGACCGCCUUGGAGACAAGGCUUUCCCUUCGGGGACAGCGGUGACAGGUGGUGCAUGGUUGUCGUCAGCUCGUGUCGUGAGAUGUUGGGUUAAGUCCCGCAACGAGCGCAACCCUUGAUCUUAGUUGCCAGCAUUCAGUUGGGCACUCUAAGGUGACUGCCGGUGACAAACCGGAGGAAGGUGGGGAUGACGUCAAAUCAUCAUGCCCCUUAUGACCUGGGCUACACACGUGCUACAAUGGACGGUACAAAGGGCUGCAAACCCGCGAGGGGGAGCCAAUCCCAGAAAACCGUUCUCAGUUCGGAUUGCAGGCUGCAACUCGCCUGCAUGAAGCCGGAAUCGCUAGUAAUCGCGGAUCAGCA